AUUGAACGCUGGCGGCAUGCCUUACACAUGCAAGUCGAACGGCAGCGGACCUUCGGGUGCCGGCGAGUGGCGAACGGGUGAGUAAUAUAUCGGAACGUACCUUUCAGUGGGGGAUAACGUAGCGAAGGUUACGCUAAUACCGCAUAUUCUGUGAGCAGGAAAGCAGGGGAUCGCAAGACCUUGCGCUGAUUGAGCGGCCGAUAUCAGAUUAGCUAGUUGGUGAGGUAAAGGCUCACCAAGGCGACGAUCUGUAGCGGGUCUGAGAGGAUGAUCCGCCACACUGGAACUGAGACACGGUCCAGACUCCUACGGGAGGCAGCAGUGGGGAAUUUUGGACAAUGGGCGCAAGCCUGAUCCAGCCAUGCCGCGUGAGUGAAGAAGGCCUCGGUUGUAAG
rnacentral:rRNA from 1 species